UACGAAGGGGGCUAGCGUUGCUCGGAAUCACUGGGCGUAAAGCGCACGUAGGCGGCCUCUUAAGUCGGCGGUGAAAUCCUGGAGCUCAACUCCAGAACUGCCUUCGAUACUGAGAGUCUCGAGUCCGAGAGAGGUGAGUGGAACUGCGAGUGUAGAGGUGAAAUUCGUAGAUAUUCGCAAGAACACCAGUGGCGAAGGCGGCUCACUGGCUCGGUACUGACGCUGAGGUGCGAAAGCGUGGGGAGCAAACAGG
rnacentral:rRNA from 1 species